rnacentral:lncRNA from 1 species
UAAUUUGAACCAGAAAUUUAAUAAGGAUAACUCAUUACAAGUUAACUAUUAGAUGUAUUUACAAACUUAAUGAGAAUAACCAAGUGUUAUAUAGAUAAAUUGGUUCCAAAGAUGAAAAUUUCUUCUAGAUGGUUAUAUAGUGGAGGCGGGUGCUCUUCAUAACUAAUAAAUAAAACUUCAGAAGAGAUUCAGGCACCUGAAACUGAAUUUUAAAAUAAUGAAAAUAAGAGAUCUUGGUAAGUUAUGUCAAUUCGAGAAAAUGUGGAACCGAAUAAUAAAAGUGGUCGACAAUGAUUUUGCAUGCAAUAUUAUCAUUGAAAUAAUGAAAUAAAAUGAGGAUCUUGAAUAAAUCUAUUGAGAAAUAUAGAUAAGGAAUAAAUUGAUUAAAAAAGACGCAACUCAAGUAUAAUUAUAUUCGUGGAGUUUUUGGUCCAGUAGUCCAAAUAUCUAAAGGUAUAAAGUCAAUGAGGGUGCAAAUGAAGUCGUUUUACAAAAGGGAAAUAAAAAUAUAAAGUUUUUCGCUAAGUACUGGUAUUGAUUUUUAAAAGAUAUAAUACUCUUUUGUAGUGGAUGCAAUAACCUUUAGAUAUAUUAUUAUAUUGACAAUUCCUAAAAGAUUUAACUUGCGUCUAAUGGUUGUUGUUACAACCUUUAUAAAUCACUAUAUAGUAAAGUUUAUAUUAAAAUCCUUAAAGGAUUUAGAAUGCUAGAAGCAUAUUGAAAUUCUUGAGAAAUUAUUCAUUUAUAUGAAUUGAAAAAAUUUGAACAUAUGUGGUAAAUUUGAGUAGUUGAAGGAGGAUUAUAAAAUGAUCCAAAAUACCUAUUUGUGUUUUUAUAUAAGAAUCAUGAUUAAAGUUUGUUAUGAUUAUUAUUGAAUCUCCUGAAGAGAUCAAAAUAUAUUUCCCCAAAUUUCCCUCACUCAUGACUUUUAAAAGAAUAGUAAUAUAAAUGCUUAGCAAAUACAUCCAAAUAGUCAUUUGAAAAACUAGUAUUUAAGAUUGAAUACGUAGAAUAUGAGAAAGUUUGUGAUGUUUUCAUGAGAGGGAGUAAAUACGCGUUGUACUCUUUUUCCCUUAACCGAGGUUUUGUCCCAUUGGGUUUUCUUGACAAGGUUUUUAAUGAGGCAACAUAUUAUGCGUAUUAUAAAUUGUGUACUCUUUUCCAUCUCGUUAGGUUUUUAUCCCACAGGGUUUUUCCUAAUAAGGUUUUAAUGAGGUAUAUUAUCUACCAAUGAACAUCCGAAGGGGAGUGUUAUGAAUAUCUUAUUAAGUGGAUGUCCAUCAUGAUCAAGAUGAAGUUUUGGUAUACUUUAAAUUUUAAUAGUUAUUAGAAUUAGAUCUCUACUUCUUUUAUACUUCUUAUGCCUAUAAAUAGAGACUCUGAUGAAGCAUUGUAACCACCCCUUUUGAUUAAUAAAUUAUAUUCUCUAUUGCUUUCAUAUUUUCUUGUUCUUUAUUCUCUCCACCCCUCUUUAUUUUAUUAAUUUAUUAUUUUUAAAUUUAAAACUUGUUAAUUUUAUUUGUAAAAUUUAUUAAUUUCUUUAAAAUUCCUUUUAGAUUUCUUCUGGAAGUUUAAUUUCUUUGUUUUUACUUUAUUUUAUUUUUUAUCACAUGAAUCACAAAUUUAAAAAAAAUAUUUUCUUUAUAUCUAUUUAAAAUAUAGAUAAUAAAUUUAUUACUAUUAAUUUUAUAAAAAACAUGAUAAAAGUAAAAAAAAAAAAACUCAAUUAGUAGUGAACUAAACAAAGUCUAUUCAAUCUUACACCAUUUAGAAAUCCAGUUAAUAGCAUCACGAAAUAAUAAUCGACUGAGUUUUAACUCGAUUGACAUAAGCAUGGUUACCAAUACAGAAGGACGUGGGUUCGAGUGCGCUGAAGCACAUUAUCCUUCUAUUUAUGAGUUGAAGAGGGACCAUGAAUAAUUCUAAACAUUAUGUCAAAAAGAACAAUUAUGAUAAGAAUCUACAAUGAAAUUAUUAUAAAAACUUUCAAAUAUAUUGUUUUUACAAAAUUCAAAUAAUUAAGCUAUUUAAAAUAAUUAAAUUCAAAGUUUAAAAAAUCUGACUUGAAAAAUACCAAUCAUGAUUUUUUGUUUAAAAUACACAGACUAAAAUUGAUUAGUUUAAAAAGUAUAUACACUAAACUUAAUAAAUUAAGAUAUAAAGAAAGAUUAAGUCCAUAACUUAUAGUACAAAAAUUAAUAAAAUGAUUGUACUAACUAAUAAUAUCACUAUAAAAAGCAGAUAGAUUAAAUUGGUUAAAAUGUAUUCCAAGUCAUUUUACUUUUCAUGUAUUUAGAAUUUAGUCUAUUUAUUUUUAUAUUCAAGAAUUUAGUCCUUACAUUUUUUAGAUUUAAAAAAUUAAGUUUAAUUAUUAACAUUGUUUAAAUUAUUUUGUUAAAUUAUUAUUCCGAUAUUUUAAAAUUAAAAAAAAUCACUUGAUAUAGCCGUAUAACAAAAGACUAAUUAUGAAUUUAAAUUUAAUGAAUAAUUUUAACAGCAUUAACAAUCAAACUUACGUUUUUAGAUCUAAAAACUUAAGGAGGUUAAAAACUUAAAUUUCAGUAUCGUAGAGGGACUGUAACUACAAUUAGACCUUUUUACUUUUCCGCUCUAUAUUAUAUCAUUUUUUUUUCAUGGUUAUCUGGUUCAAGUUUCAACUCCAUUAAUGGAUUAUUCAAUAAAAAUUGAAAAAGAAGAAGGUAAAAAACCAAAAGUACACCUGUCGGACCAAAGGUAAGAGAGGACACCUGUGACAUACAAGGGGCAUUACGCUGUGUCCCCCACCCUGCCCCUUUCUAUGCAUCUCUGUCUUCGCCGCUUUUGUAUCUUUUUCUUGUCCCGC